GUGAGAUCAAUCAUUAUGAUGAUGGUACUGACUCUGCUGCUGACCAUGUCGGUGUUGGGACUUCAAGGAUCAGGUGCCAGUCCAUCUGUAACUCAAUCUCCUGUGUCAAAGUCUGUCAGUGUGGGAGAGACGGUGUCUCUGAGCUGUACAGUCAGUACAGGAGUUGAUGAUGACCUCAGUUGGUACCUGCAGAAACCCGGACAACCUCCCAAACUGCUGUUUUACAAAAUAAGCAGCCGGCAGACUGGUACUCCGAGUCGUUUCAGCAGCAGUGGAUCUGAACCUGACUUCACUUUGACCAUCAGUGGAGUUCAGGCUGAAGAUGCAGCAGUUUAUUACUGUAUGAGUGUCCAUCGUGGCCCAGUGUUCACACAGUGAUUUAUGGUGGUACAAAAACCUCCCUCAGUCAGACUGCAGAGACACUGAGCUGUUACAGCAGGAAGCGACUGCAGCUGCUGAAGAGGAAGAGACUCUGACACAGACCACUGAACACAGAGCUGACAGUAACCUCACCAAG